rnacentral:misc_RNA from 1 species
GAUGAAGAACGUAGCGAAAUGCGAUAAGUAGUGUGAAUUGCAGAAUUCAGUGAAUCAUCGAAUCUUUGAACGCACAUUGCGCCCGCCAGUAUUCUGGCGGGCAUGCCUGUUCGAGCGUCAUUUCAACCCUCAGGACCCUUUGGACCUGGUGUUGGGGCUCGGCCGCUACCCCGCGGCCGUCCCCGAAAGAUAGUGGCGGUCUCGCUGUAGCGUCCUCUGCGUAGUAAUUACACCUCGCACUGGAACGCGGCGCGGCCACGCCGUUAAACACCCCACUUCUCAAGGUUGACCUCGGAUCAGGUAGGAAUACCCGCUGAACUUAAGCAUAUCAAUAAGCGGAGGA